rnacentral:lncRNA from 1 species
UCGUUUAGUGACUUUUUCUUUUACUAUCUCGUGAUGUCGCUUUUAUAUUGCGCUCAUUAAUGAAGGAGGAACUUCUGGGCCGGAUAUGAUGCGUCAUACGGGAGGAACUAAUUCAACAGCAACCUACUGCAACACAACCUCAGUGAUCCCUUUGUUUGAUUUGCGGACGGACGUGAUUCGUAGUGUUGGAGGAUACCGUCUUCAAAUGCUUCCGCACAACAGUGAAAAGCAGUGCCGAAGUUCCUUCUCGACAACGCGCUCUGUGGCGAGGAGAAAUGCUUUGAAGUCCGGGCACAUCGGGAAGUCGGCACAUUGCCCCAAGACCAACGGACGCCCGGCAAUCGGCAGCGCGGCACAUCGCCACAAGACGGACGGACGCGUGUUUUUCGUGCCAAAGCCUCUUCCUCUGCAGAUGACGUUGGUCAUUAAUAUCGGUGAGCAGCACUGACCUAUGCCUGAGUGAAGAGACAUAUAAGUAGGUGCAGAUUGGUGUAGGCUUUGUGCUGCCUUAUAACAGUGGCAGUAUAUUUAAAGUGUACAUCAGAUGCCAAGUGUGCAAUAGAUGUGGG